UCUCCGUUGGUGUACCAGCGGAGGGAUCAUUACCGGGUUUUUCUACUCCCAAACCCCUGUGAACUUAUACCUUUACUGUUGCUUCGGCGGGUUAACGCCCCGGAAGGCCCAAAAAGCCGCCGGAACCAGGCGCCCGCCGGGGGACCCAAACACUUGUAUUUCUUACUUUGCAUGUCUGAGUUGAAUCAUAAACAAAUGAAUCAAAACUUUCAACAACGGAUCUCUUGGUGCUG
rnacentral:misc_RNA from 1 species